CUUUGGGACUAACCUUCUUAAAUUAGGUCACACUGAGGUAUGCUACUUUUUUUUCCUUGCUCAAUUAGUCCAGCCAUCCAUUUAGGAUUUAGCAUUCUUUUAGUAAUGCAGCUCACUUUAGACAUCCUUGACAUGUUUCCAAAAGUCUUAUAGUUUCUUAAAGCAGCUGUGUAAAUUUGUGCUUGAGUUGUGUGGUACUUUAAUCCUAAUAAAAUUUUUUGUCUCUAUUUCGUUUGCUAGUGAAAGGCCAAUUUAUUUAGCUUCAUAAUGCAUGACCUGUAUGAAUUUAUGUUAUAGUGAGCCAUUAACUUUUGAGUUUAGUAUGGAGAUAAUGAAUAGAUUUUACCUUUCCAAAUACUAAUUUAAUUCUUUUUAUCAUGUUUAUGCUUCCAUUUAAUACGAAAACAAUUAAAGACAUCAACUGCGAUACCUUCACAUCUUAACAUCAUGUAAUGAGCUUCAAUGAGUCUGGCUAAAUUAUAUUCACAGAGAGAGGCAUUCUACUCUAGACACUGAUGGAACUAGUGGGAAGAGUCAUUUGAAGCCU
rnacentral:misc_RNA from 1 species